rnacentral:misc_RNA from 1 species
GAGCCGUGGAGUUUGGUCCCUGGGUUUUUUGUGACAAAGCAACUAAGGAGAUCGAUUUACUGAGGUUUUUGUUUUUAUGGCCUCUUUGAGCUUCAGUCGAUUUAAAAUCUGUUUUAGAGAGGUCAUCUUCUCCAACUCGAUCUUCUCUAGAGGUUGACGUUGCAGGAUGGUUGAUCGUCGAGUAUAGUGUACAAGCGGUGGCAAGGGCUUCCCCUUAGAUGGUGCUAGGUGUGAAUGAAGC